AACCUAUUAGCUCAAAUGGAAGAGCAUGCGCUAUGCGCAAGAUGUGGGUUCGAUUCCCACAUAGGUUA
rnacentral:tRNA from 1 species